AGCUGGAUGGUUAACUGACUGAGUCACCCUGACUCUAACUGAAACAUCAGCUCUUCCUGGGUCUUGGGCCUGCCAGUAUUCAGACUGGGACUACAUUCACCAUCAGUUCUCUGGUGGUCUCCAGCAUGUAACUGAAGAUCUUGGAACUUGUCAACCUUCAUAAUCAUCUCUAGGAAACUAAACAAGCAGGAUUUCUAUGUUGCCGUCUUGAGGUCAAGUUCCUUCUCUGGGAAACUUCAGUCUUUUUUCUCAAGGCCUUCAGCAGACUGGAUAAGGCCCACCGACAGAAUGGCCGAGGGGUGGCUACAUAAGAACAGAUUAUUGGGAAAAUGUUGGGGCAUCUCUACAGGACACCCAGUUGGGGAAGCUUAGAGUUGUCCGAACGGAUCUGGAGCUCUGCAGAGAAGCCCAAGCUGAACAUAUGCUUUGGAACUUACCAGCCAUAGAAUGUGGUAAUUCAAGUCAUUGCAGAGGAUGAGCUUUUUUUUUAAAGGAAUAGUACGAAGAAAGAGAAAAAAGAAGACAUAAAAUAGAAGAAGCCCCAACAUUUAAAGGAUGGGUAGAAGAAGAAGAGCCUGUGAAAAAUAAAAUGGCAGAAAACCCAGAGAGAGAGAGAGAGAGAGAGAACAAGCAGGGGGAGCCGCAAGCAGAGGGAUAAGGAGGCUCGCAGGCUGAGCAAGGAGCCUGAUGCCACACUCAAUCCCAGGACCCUGGGAUCAUGACCUGAACCAAAGGC